UGGGGAAUUUUGCACAAUGGGCGGAAGCCUGAUGCAGCGACGCCGUGUGGGGGAUGAAGGCCUUCGGGUUGUAAACUCCUUUCGUCAGGGACGAAGUUUGUUUGACGGUACCUGGAUAAGAAGCACCGGCUAACUACGUGCCAGCAGCCGCGGUAAUACGUAGGGUGCGAGCGUUGUCCGGAUUUACUGGGCGUAAAGGGCUCGUAGGUGGUGUGUUGUGUCGUCUGUGUAAUCCAGGGGCUUAACUUUUGGUUGGCAGGCGAUACGGGCAUUGCUUGAGUGCUGUAGGGGAGACUGGAAUUCCUGGUGUAGCGGUGAAAUGCGCAGAUAUCAGGAGGGUCACCGAUGGCGAAGGCAGGUCUCUGGGCAGUUACUGACGCUGAGGAGCGAGAGCAUGGGUAGCGAACAGG
rnacentral:rRNA from 1 species